CUCUUUCCCCACUGGAACUGGGACAUCUGUCUUCUCCUGCCCUUCGACAUCAGAACUCCAGUCUCUCCGGUCUUCUGACUCUGGAACUUGCACCAGUGGCCUGCCAGUUUCUCAGGCCUUGGACCUCAGGCUGAGAGUUGCACCAUCAGCUCCCCUGGUCUGAGGUUUUCAGAUUCGGACUGAGCCAUGCUACCAGCAUUCCAGAGUCUCCAGCUUGCAGACAGCCUGGAGUGGGACUUCUCAGCCUCCAUAAUCAUGCCCCGCUAGACGAAGAGCUGACCGCUCAGAGAAUGGUUACGAAAGGGACAAACAAGCCAACAAACGAAGUCCAGUCUCCCCAUUUGUUGUAACCGCCGGGUCCCCUUUGGUUGCCAUGGCACUUGAGGCCAGAAAGUCCUCAGCUCCCAGGUGAAGUCCUCCACCAGCUGCCCAUUCCUGGGGGUGGAUGCCGUGACAGCCACGCCAGAUUGUCAGCUACCCAGAAGGAGAGGAGGUGGCCGUCUGUGUUCUCCAAACUUCUGGGACUCCUCAAGGAGUGAAGUCUGAUCUACGCACGGAACCAACCACCACGGCAAAGGAAGAGCGAUGGCGCCCCCAUGUGGCAACACAAGCACUGCGAUUUCACACAAGACCAAAUCAGAAUUGGCCGGAGGGGAACGUCAGAUUCUUAGGGAGUGUUACUCCAACUAAUGCUACACUCAGGGCGACUUCUUGGAAGGCAAAAGCCCCAUAGUCUAGCCAUACAACUUUCCAGAAAAGUAGCACUCUUCAAAACAGCUGGCAUUAAAAUUCUUGGCUCUGCCAUCCACCCGUUCUGUGAGACUCUUUCCUCAUCCCCAAAAAUGGAAGGUCUGAUGACUUCAAAAAGAGUUUUACCGUUUUUCCCCUCAUUGAAAAUAAUAGAAAACAGUAAAAUACUGCA
rnacentral:lncRNA from 1 species